rnacentral:rRNA from 1 species
UACGUAGGUGGCAAGCGUUGUCCGGAAUUAUUGGGCGUAAAGCGCGCGCAGGUGGUUUCUUAAGUCUGAUGUGAAAGCCCACGGCUCAACCGUGGAGGGUCAUUGGAAACUGGGGAACUUGAGUGCAGAAGAGGAUAGUGGAGUUCCAAGUGUAGCGGUGAAAUGCGUAGAGAUUUGGAGGAACACCAGUGGCGAAGGCGGCCAUCUGGACGAUUACUGACGCUGAGACGCGAAAGCGUGGGGAGCAAACAGG